rnacentral:rRNA from 1 species
AUUGAACGCUGGCGGCAUGCCUUACACAUGCAAGUCGAACGGCAGCACGGGAGCAAUCCUGGUGGCGAGUGGCGAACGGGUGAGUAAAGUAUCGGAACGUGCCCAGUCGUGGGGGAUAACGUAGCGAAAGUUACGCUAAUACCGCAUACGAUCUAUGGAUGAAAGCGGGGGAUCGCAAGACCUCGCGCGAUUGGAGCGGCCGAUAUCAGAUUAGGUAGUUGGUGGGGUAAAGGCUCACCAAGCCGACGAUCUGUAGCUGGUCUGAGAGGACGACCAGCCACACUGGGACUGAGACACGUCCCAUACUCCUACGGGAGGCAACAGUGGGGAAUUUUGGACAAUGGGCGAAAGCCUGUUCCAGCCAUGCCGCGUGCAGGAUGAAGGCCUUCGGGUUGUAAACUGCUUUUGUACGGAACGAAAAGGUUUGGCCUAAUAAGCUGAGCUCAUGACGGUACCGUAAGAAUAAGCACCGGCUAACUACGUGCCAGCAGCCGCCGCGG